rnacentral:rRNA from 1 species
UUGAACGCUGGCGGCAUGCUUUACACAUGCAAGUCGAACGGCAGCGCGGGCUUCGGCCUGGCGGCGAGUGGCGAACGGGUGAGUAAUGCAUCGGAACGUGCCCAGUAGUGGGGGAUAGCCCGGCGAAAGCCGGAUUAAUACCGCAUACGACCUGAGGGUGAAAGCGGGGGACCGAAAGGCCUCGCGCUAUUGGAGCGGCCGAUGUCGGAUUAGCUAGUUGGUGGGGUAAAGGCUUACCAGGGCGACGAUCCGUAGCUGGUCUGAGAGGACGACCAGCCACACUGGGACUGAGACACGGCCCAGACUCCUACGGGAGGCAGCAGUGGGGAAUUUUGGACAAUGGGGGCAACCCUGAUCCAGCCAUGCCGCGUGCGGGAAGAAGGCCUUCGGGUUGUAAACCGCUUUUGUUCGGGAAGAAAUCCUCUGGGCUAAUACCCCGGGGGGAUGACGGUACCGGAAGAAUAAGCACCGGCUAACUACGUG